AGUGAACGCUGGCGGUAGGCCUAACACAUGCCAGUCGAACGGCAGCACAGUAAGAGCUUGCUCUUACGGGUGGCGAGUGGCGGACGGGUGAGGAAUACAUCGGAAUCUACUUUUUCGUGGGGGAUAACGUAGGGAAACUUACGCUAAUACCGCAUACGACCUACGGGUGGAAGCAGGGGAUCUUCGGACCUUGCGCGAUUGAAUGAGCCGAUGUCGGAUUAGCUAGUUGGCGGGGUAAAGGCCCACCAAGGCGACGAUCCGUAGCUGGUCUGAGAGGACGAUCAGCCACACUGGAACUGAGACACGGUCCAGACUCCUACGGGAGGCAGCAGUGGGGAAUAUUGGACAAUGGGCGCAAGCCUGAUCCAGCCAUACCGCGUGGGUGAAGAAGGCCUUCGGGUUGUAAAGCCCUUUUGUUGGGAAAGAAAAGCAGCAGGUUAAUACCCCGCUGUUCUGACGGUACCCAAAGAAUAAGCACCGGCUAACUUCGUG
rnacentral:rRNA from 1 species